GACGAACGCUGGCAGCGUGCUUAACACAUGCAAGUCGAACGGUAAGGCCCUUCGGGGUACACGAGUGGCGAACGGGUGAGUAACACGUGGGUGAUCUGCCCUGCACUUCGGGAUAAGCCUGGGAAACUGGGUCUAAUACCGGAUAGGACCACUGCCUGCAUGGGGGGUGGUGGAAAGCUUUUGCGGUGUGGGAUGGGCCCGCGGCCUAUCAGCUUGUUGGUGGGGUGAUGGCCUACCAAGGCGACGACGGGUAGCCGGCCGGAGAGGGUGACCUGCCACACUGGGACUGAGGUACGGCCCAGACUCCUACGGGAGGCAGCAGUGGGGAAUAUUGCACAAUGGGCGCAAGCCUGAUGCAGCGACGCCGCGUGAGGGAUGACGGCCUUCGGGUUGUAAACCUCUUUCAGCACCGACGAAGCGCAAGUGACGGUAGGUGCAGAAGAAGGACCGGCCAACUACGUGCCAGCCGCCGCCGUAA
rnacentral:rRNA from 1 species